GCCUUGGGGCCGGCGGCGACCAGAGGGCGGGCCAGGGAGGCGGUUGGCCCGGGCGGGGCCUGCUCUGCUCGGGCCGCCCCCGCGGCUCCAGCCCCCGGCAGGAGGAGCCUCAGGCGGGCAGCCGAGUAGUGGGGGUUUUAGAGGCCAAUGAAAGAGGCAGGAAGUGAAGGUGGGCAGGAACUAAAGAUGAUGGGCUUGGGGAAGAAGCCAGUCAACUGCCAGGCGGGCUCCGUGAGUAGUAGGGAUUGGAAGAGCUUUCAUUGGAAUGACAGAACAACAGCCAACCAGAAGCUUGGACGUGCCUGGGCAAAGUCCUAGUGGGAGGAGGACGAGACAGAAUUCGGAACCUGGCCUGUGAGGGACGUCCUCAACAUAAGCUUGUUUAUUAACAGUUUCUGAGAGCAAAUGGACAUGUUGUCCAAUUCAUCUGUGAAAACCUGAACAGAUUUUCUUUCGACUAAACAACAACAAAAAUGAAUAAACUUGUUUCAAGUUUGUCUUCAUAA